GUGGGUGGCAAGCGUUGUCCGGAAUUAUUGGGCGUAAAGCGCGCGCAGGCGGUUCUUUAAGUCUGAUGUGAAAGCCCACGGCUCAACCGUGGAGGGUCAUUGGAAACUGGAGAACUUGAGUACAGAAGAGGAAAGCGGAAUUCCACGUGUAGCGGUGAAAUGCGUAGAGAUGUGGAGGAACACCAGUGGCGAAGGCGGCUUUCUGGUCUGUAACUGACGCUGAGGCGCGAAAGCGUGGGGAGCAAACAGGGAUUAGAUACCCUGGUAGUCCACGCCGUAAACGAUGAGUGCUAAGUGUUAGGGGGUUUCCGCCCCCUUAGUGCUGCGGCUAACGCAUUAAGCACUCCGCCUGGGGAGUACGGCCGCAAGGCUG
rnacentral:rRNA from 1 species